rnacentral:rRNA from 1 species
AUUGAACGCUGGCGGCAUGCCUUACACAUGCAAGUCGAACGGCAGCGCGGGAGCAAUCCUGGCGGCGAGUGGCGAACGGGUGAGUAAUACAUCGGAACGUGCCCAAUCGUGGGGGAUAACGCAGCGAAAGCUGUGCUAAUACCGCAUACGAUCUACGGAUGAAAGCAGGGGAUCGCAAGACCUUGCGCGAAUGGAGCGGCCGAUGGCAGAUUAGGUAGUUGGUGAGGUAAAGGCUCACCAAGCCUUCGAUCUGUAGCUGGUCUGAGAGGACGACCAGCCACACUGGGACUGAGACACGGCCCAGACUCCUACGGGAGGCAGCAGUGGGGAAUUUUGGACAAUGGGCGAAAGCCUGAUCCAGCCAUGCCGCGUGCAGGAUGAAGGCCUUCGGGUUGUAAACUGCUUUUGUACGGAACGAAACGGUCUUUUCUAAUAAAGAAGGCUAAUGACGGUACCGGAAGAAUAAGCACCGGCUAACUACGUG